rnacentral:rRNA from 1 species
GACGUAGGGCGCGAGCGUUGUCCGGAAUUAUUGGGCGUAAAGAGCUCGUAGGCGGUUCGUCGCGUCGAAUGUGAAAACCCGGGGCUCAACUCCGGGCUUGCAUUCGAUACGGGCGGGCUAGAGUUCGGUAGGGGAGACUGGAAUUCCUGGUGUAGCGGUGAAAUGCGCAGAUAUCAGGAGGAACACCGGUGGCGAAGGCGGGACUCUGGGCCGAUACUGACGCUGAGGAGCGAAAGCGUGGGGAGCGAACAGG